rnacentral:lncRNA from 1 species
AGAACAAACCUGCUGCUUUGCUCCAUAAGUCUGUGAUGAAACAGGAGUUUCGCAGGAUGGCCAAGGCAGUCGCAAACCAGGUAAAUAAACUUUGAAGCUUUGCUCUGCCGAAUGAUUAUUUUACUAAGAACAUGCUUGCAAGUUUUUGUUGCAUUGGUGAUCCUUAACAUGUUAGAAGAUACUUGUUGGUUUAUGCUUUGGUGAUAAGCCUUAACAUGUUAUGUUAGAAGAAUCAUUUGUAAUGAUAUCUUCAGUGAAAUAUUCUUGUUACGCUUCUGAGCGUUUAUUGUCCUUUAAUUAGAUGGGGUUCUCUUUGUUAAUCUCUUAGAUGCAAGUAAGCUUCAUGCCUUUUCUUGGAAAAAUCUGAAAUGGGGUUUAUCUCAAGUAUCUGAAUGAUUACUUUUCUAAGAACAUACUUGUAGGUUUGUACCUGCAGUUAAAGGAUCAUUUUUGUAGUGGUUUCUUCAGUGAAAUACUCUUGUUACACUUAGUUUCUGAGCGUGCAUUGUCUUUUUUUAUUAGAUUAGCUUCUCUUUUUUUUUUUUUUUUAAAAUAUUUAAUAAUAGAAACGAAAUUUAUUGAAAGAAACGAAAAGGAACACAUAAGUGGAUGAGGCAUCCACAAGCCAAACGAACAACAACAGAAAAAACAGACUAAAAAAACAAAGACACCAGCCAAACCACACAGAGACUGCUACACCAGAAAGACCCAAAGAAAACAAGAUGCAAAAAAACACUUCAAAUCACAGCAGCAGCCAUAUCCCUCAGUAUAGUGGAGUAGGAAUAGUCUUUUUUAUUAGAUUAGGUUCUAUUUGUUAAUCUCUUAUAUGUAGGUAAGCUUCAUGCUUUUUCAAGGAUCUGAAUGAUUAUUUUACUAAGAAGUUUGUAGGUUUGUGCUGCAGUGAUGAGCUUUUAACAUGUAAGAAGGAUCAUUUGUGUAAUGGUUUCUUCAGUGAAAUACUCUUGUUACGCUUGGCUUCUGAGCAUCCAUUGUCUUCUUUAGAUUGGGUUCUCCUUGUUAAUCUCUUAUAUAUAGGUAACCUUCACUAUUUUUCUGGUCAAAAUCUGAAAUUGGUUUACCUCAAGGAUCUGAAUGGUUAUUUUUUUAAGAAAAUACUUGGUAGGUUUAUAUUGCAGUGAUGAGCCUUAACAUGUAAGAUAAACUAUUUAUAAUGGUUUCUUCAAUGAAAUGUUCUUGUUACGCUUGCACGCAUUGUGUUUUUAGGGUUUAGUGUUUUUAUUGUUGGUCCCUCAUAUGUUGGUAUCCUUCAAGGAUGAUAAAGUAUUUGUAUUGUAUUGAUUGCAUGAAUCUAUAUUUGCCUUAUCUAGGUUUUCCCUUUUGUUGUUUCUCUGUUAUUCAUUUUGUAUUCCGCAUUGCAGGUGGCAGAUAACUACUACAGGCCAGAUCUGAAAAAAGCAGCCCUUGCAAGGUUGAGUGUUGUUCACAAGAGCCUCAAGGUUGCCAAGUCUGGUGUCAAGAAGAGGAACAGGCAAGCUGUUAGAGUCUAUGGCAGGAAGUGAGUUAUAGGGGGCUGAUACACUAGUGUUCUUUUCAUGAUUUUGGAUUUGAUUGGAUCGUCCUUGAAAACUCAAGAUGUAUUUGGAUUUUGGGGAUUUUAUUUAGUUUGUUUUGCAAAAGAUUCCUGGAUAUAAUUUUUUUUUUCUUCAACCAAUCAUUUAGCAAAAUUUCGGCAUGGACCCUAACAACCAACUUAUCGAUAACCAAUGAAAAUACUCUGUUAAUUUUCAUAUGGUAAUUUUGCAUAUGCCCAACUGCAAACACUCCGGACCGGAGGACAUUAGAGGUUCUCAGAACAACAAAUCACCAUGUCCAAACAAACCAGUUCAGUUUUGAAUGAAGAAAUGUAGCUGAUCAAAUCAAAUAUAGAUAAACUUAAAAAUGAACUGUGAUAAUAUGACAUACAAUUGUUAAAGAUUCGUUGACUAUAUUAUUCCAAUAAUUUCUUGACUUUCUAAACCAACGAAUGAAUGGGGAGCCAAGUAUCAUGACAAUCUGCUGUACAUAUUAUGAGGAGGCUUGCAGUCAAAUAAGGGUCCAAUGCAAAACCACAUGUUUCUGCAAGCUUCCCACCACCAUCAAGAACACAUUCAUCUUAUCUUCGCUGAUAAAUCAAGAUGAGCAGCAGGUGGUCUUUUGGACAACUGGCUGUCCACGCAUAUGCACAGUGGAUGGUUUGUUGACACUCAUUGGUUGGGUAGCUAUCCUGCAACCCGAAGAAAAAAAUAUUUACCGACGCUGUAUAAAAAUACUGAUGUUUUACCAUUGCAGUUGUUCCAGUACAACUACAGAUCACAGAUUUAUCUUACUUAAACUCUUGAUCUGAAAUGCCCGUAUCAAUCAGAAAUAUGACAAAAGUAACAUGGAGAUGAACUCACCUGUUCUUUAUCUCUGCAACCAUAGUCAUGAAUGCCUGCUCUACAUUAGUCGAAUUUUUGGCACUUGUUUCCAAGAAUGGAAUACCUAGCUCAUCUGCAAAUGCCUUUUAAAAACAGCGGGGUUUUGGGGUAAGAAGAAUGUGAACAACAUAAAGUUUGAACACGUAAAGUUGAUCAAUGGUGCAUGCUUAUUUAACUCAUCAUGACUUGAUAACAAAAUAAGAUUAAUUAGCAGCUAAGAUACCUUGCUAGCUUCAGAAGAGACCACUUUCUUGUCAGCUAAGUCACUCUUGUUUCCAACCAAGAGCUUGUUCACAUUUCCAACUGCAAAUUUAUCAAUUUCUUGCAGCCAGGUCUUGACAUUGUUGAAGCUUUCUUGGUCCGUCACGUCAUAGACAAGCUAGCAAAUAAUUUCAAAAACCACAUUCAUGAAGAUCAUCCUAUGAAAAGCUUGCAGGACCAAAAAUCUACAUUAUAAAGAGGUGAAUUAAUACUUACAAUGAUGCCAUGGGCACCACGGUAGUAGCUGCUUGUAAUCGUUCUGAAACGCUCUUGACCAGCAGUGUCCCACUAUUCAGAAGAAAUGGAGAUUUCAGAUUUUUUCAGCUAAGGAACUUCGAUUCCAAUCCCGCCUUAAUAAAAAAAUAUACUUACUAUUUGAAGUUUGACAACUUUCCCAUCCUGCUCCACUGUUCGAAUUUUCUAAAUAGAGGAAACAAAGAGAUGAAAUCACUGCCAUGGCAUCAAAAUAACCACACAUAAGAAGUGAUUUAUUAUGCCACUGUACUUACAAAGUCAACACCAAUGGUACUUAUGUAGCUGUCAAUGUAAGAAUCAUCCUACACAAGGUGAGAGUGGAAUUGUCAAUAAAAGAUCAAAGAAAAUCAGACAUCAGCAUUUGGCUCAACCAACUCUGAUCACAAGCAUACAUUUAUGUAUCGCAUGUUACACAAUAGUUAUGAUUUAAAAUUUAGGACGAAUUCAAAGAGAUGACCGAGGGAGAAGGUAUAAGAAUUUAAUGUGUGUGUAUAAGAGAAGCGUGGCAAAAAGAAAACCAUCAUCCUAUAUAUAACAUUGUUGAACUUUUACCGCAAAUCUCAGUAGAAGGCAUGACUUGCCCACACCGGAAUCUCCAAUGAGCAAAAGUUUGAAAAGAUAGUCACUGCAAAAUGGAGGAAAAUAACUAAUUAGAACCUCAAACUUUAUGCUUCAGUACGGUAACUAAGGGAAAUAACUAAAAUAAAACAUUAACAUAUCAUCAAAUCUUAUUAGCAAAAACACCUACUCUGUCAGAAUAUGUCAACAACUAUGCCCUGCAUAUCUAUUUAAUGUUUCUUCAAAUUGAGACAAAAUUAUACAGGCAGCAAAGAUAUGAAUUCCAUGGCAGCAUAUCAUCCAAAUAACUCAAGGAGAUUAUAGGUGCCUAAGAAAACACCAAGCCACAGCAGAAAGAAUCAUCAUUUCAAAAGUAUGACUAACAUAUUCAUCUUAUUUACCAGAGUCCAUGGAUCUCAUACAUUGUUUUUACAGCUUUUGUAUUCACUACAAUCAAAAUUGCAGAUAGCUUCUUGAAAUGAAAUGUGAUCCCAAAAAAAAGGGAUCCACAAAAUUGAUUUUCGUAAGAACUUUCUUCCAGUUUUUUAAGAUACUACUAAACAAACAAUCUCUAAUCAAAUGGCCAAAUCAAAAGCCAUCCCACAUACCCAAAAGUUGAAAAUAAAAUAACCCUUCAAUAAAAACAAAAACAAAAAUAAGAAUUUCUGGGUUUGACCAAAAUCCAAAUCCAAUCAAAUUGAACAGGGUUAACAUUAUCAACAGCCAUAAAACAAUCACACAGAAACUAAGCUAUGACAAAAAAGGUGAUAACAUGUAGACAUGCAUGCAAUUGUUCAUGAGAGAGAGAGAGAGAGAGAGAGAGAGAGAGAAAUUACUAUUCAGGGAUCAUGACUGGGUUGAUCGAUGAGGAGGAAGUUUCAGAAAGCGUAGAAAUUUUCAACUGGGUCUAAUUAACGUAAAAAUGGAAUCUUAAACGAGGGAGAGAAGUUGAAGGAGAGGACUUUGUUGUGCCUUAUAUAAGGGUGGACAGUUUGCGUCACAUUGAAAGGUUCCUAUUUCCUACUCAGCCGCCAGCUUGGAACCUGACCCCACACAACUUUUUUGGUUUCUCUUCUGGGUUGGUUUAUUUUUAUGGGUUUGUUUACAAGCCCAUUUCGGAAGGCCUGAAUUUUAAGUGAAGAGGGUCUUAUCACUUGUGUUCUGUCAACUUAGCCCAAUUAUCUGUUUACUUUUUUGUUGUUGUUGCAAUUGGAGAAAAGAAACCCUGGAGUUUCGAUCUUAAGUGUCAAGUAAGCAGGGGGGAAGGAGGAGGGACACAACCACUGUGGUAACCUCACUCAACAAUUAUUUGUCUACUUGCCAACUUUUUAUUCGAUUAAUUCUGUAAUAAAAAUAUAUGUUCGACGUUUUAUUCGACUCUAGCUAAGUGAGUUCUUUCACACUUGUAAAAUGAGUUACAAAUGUUAUUUUCAAAACUCGGGUAAAAAAAGUUGACGAGUGUGUUGUAAGGAUUAGUUUUGUUUUACAAAUAGUUACAAAUGUUGUAAAAUAAUGUAGUAGUGGAGUCCCCAAAUGCCUAUAAAAGGCUUCCCCCCUUCCCUAUCAUAGACACACAAUGAGAAGAGAAAACAUUCCCUUCUCUUUCUCAAUUUCUUCUCCCAUUUGUAAGAAACACACAUAAUAGAGAGCAAACAUUCUCUCCAUCUCAAUCCCCUCUCUACAAUUUCCCAUUGAUUUAUAACACGUUAUCAGCACGAUUUCUCUAUCUCUAAAUUCAGAGCCUCAACGCUCUCUCUCUUUCUCUCCGCAAAACUCAAGCAGAGGCUUGCUGGUAUUUUCUUUUGCUGGAUUUUCCCCCAAGGCAGAUCCUUAAAUGUUUUUCCGGAAGUAUACUAGACCAGAUAGAGCUCAGCUCCACACUGUACUCUUUUUCCUUCAUCCAGGUUUUUAUCCCAUUGAGUUUUUCCUGGUAAGGUUUUAACGAGGCAGUGUCACUCAAGGGUUUAGGGUAUACUAUGAAAAUUUUUAUGGUCGAUUACUGGACAAAAGCUAGUCCUAAAUUUUUCAGGGGGAGAUAUUCACAAAGGGGAGCGUGAUUUUAAUAAAGACCUUCAUACACUGUACUCUUUUUCCUUCAUCCAGGUUUUUAUCCCACUGGAUUUUUCCUGGUAAGGUUUUAACGAGGCAGUGUCGCUCAAGAUUGACUCACAGAAGCAGUGUCAACUACGAUAUUCAGAAAGGUGAUCAACAGUAUGACUUAAAGAUAUUUUGCCGAGCAUCAGGGGGAGCGCGCUAUCAAUAAAGAUCUUCAAACACUGUACUCUUUUUCCUUCGUCCAGGUUUUUAUCCCACUGGGUUUUUCCUGGCAAGGUUUUAACGAGGCAGUGUCGCACGCGCAUCAAUAUACAUAGAAUUUUAUGUUACACAUGAUUAUGUACUCUUUUUCCCUUUGACCAGUUUUUGUCCCACUGGGUUUUUACUGGCAAGGUUUUUAACGAGGCAUAUUCUGUAUCAUUUGUGGUCUCCAAGGGGGAGUGUUGUAAAAUAAUGUAGUAGUGGAGUCCCCAAAUGCCUAUAAAAGGCUUCCCCCCUUCCCUAUCAUAGACACACAAUGAGAAGAGAAAACAUUCCCUUCUCUCUCUCAAUUUCUUCUCCCAUUUGUAAGAAACACACAUAAUAGAGAGCAAACAUUCUCUCCAUCUCAAUCCCCUCUCUACAAUUUCCCAUUGAUUUAUAACAACAAAGGACUUGUCUUUGUUUUCUUUGUGGUGGAACUGCUUCUCUAGGAAUCACUUUUGCUAAUAAUCGCUUCUAGUAAAAGAGCUUUUAUUAUAAGGUGUUGAAAUUUUCAUAAGAAAUCAAAAGCACUUGGGAAUGCUUCCUAAAGGAGAAGCACAAGGCAGGUGUUUCUUCGAAAAAAAACUUCUAUGGCCUAUAAGUACUUCUAAACUUUUCUGCCAAAUGCGGUCAAAAACGCUUUUGAUUAUCAAAAAGCGCUUUCAGUUUUCCAGAAGCACUCCCAAACGGGCCCUAAGUAUAUCAACUUUAGUAAUAACAUUCUUCUUGCUUUAAAUAAUAAUAUAAAAAAGCUGGGGUUUGAUUAUAAAUAAAAAUAAAAAAAUGAAAGAAAGAAGGUGUGAUUUUUAAUCCAAAUGAGCUUUUAUUUCCCACAAUAAGAGUUCAAUUAUUGUGGAAAGUUUUAGGCCAAAAGUCACUUUUGGUCUCUAUAGUUUGGCAUUUCAAUCACUUUCGACCUUAUAGUUUUAAUUUCGUCACUUUUGAUCAUGUAGUUUCAUAUUUGUAACAAUUCAAGGACAAGAUAAAAUUUCUUUCAAUUUCUUUAACGGAACAACCACUUGCCACUCAUUUGGAGGGGCACUUUUAUCAGACCAAAACCUCACUUUAAAAAUUGGUCGCUACCUCUUUCCUUGGGCGCAAAAAUGGGCAACCAAAAUCUCAAAAUCCUCCCUCCUUCACUAUCCCAAAUUCCUAGCGCCUAACCAAUCUUUAUCUCCUCCAUCCAUUUCUCUCUCCCUACAGAUUCAGAACAAAACAACAAAGCAAUAACUUUCCAAACCCAAAGUUACAGAACAAAACAAGGCCACAAAAGAAUGGAACAAAAGCAUUGUAACCCACUUAUAUGCAUUGAAAAGUCGAAUAAAUGUUAUAAAACAAUUUCGCACAGAAAACUGUACCUUUAGGCUUUGUUUGGUUUAUGGAAUGAAUUUGAGGGGAAAUCAUUUUCCAAGGAAUGGAAAUGGAAGAUUCCUUUCCCACGUUUGGUAAUGCUAGGAAAGUAACCGGGAAAUAUCACUUUAUUUCCUUUCCCAUGUUUGUUUUGAAUAGGAAUGGAAACAAAAUUUGUAUAAAUUUUCAAUUAUACCCAUAUUAAAUCAAAUAAAAAAAGAAUGCAUUUAAUAAUAUAUUGUAAUUCUAAAUUGUUAAUGGGGAUAAAAUGGUCAUAAAAAAUAUGUAUUUAAUGUUAGCUCAUUUUCCCAAACUUUCCCAUGAGAAGGGUAAACAAAACCCAAGUUGGGAGGAUGACUUCACUUUCCCCCUACUUUCUCAUGAGUCAGGAAACGAUUUUCCAUACCUAGACUUACCAAACAUGGGAAAGUAAUUGAUUUCCCACCCCAAGUCUCCUUUCCCAUGAACCAAACAGGGCCCUAGUGACUCCUUAUAAUUUAAUGUUGCUUUGUUUUAUGCAUAUUUUAAACUUUUAAUUAAUGCUAAUUAUAAUAUUUACGACUCCCUAAACUAGAGAGUAUGAUUAGAGUUCAAAUUUUAUAAACAGUUCAUAAAAUAGCUUUUAUGUGUUUUUCGCUAAAUUUUAACUAAAAAAUAAAGAGUAUUAUUAUAAAUGCUCUUAGCCCAACUUUAAAAAAUAAUAAUAAUCACAUCAGCAAACUACAAAGACUUUUGCCACCAGAUUGGGAAUAUUACUCAUUAGCCUGUCACAUGCCUACAGUAGCAGGUUAAGGUCUUGGAAAGUAUGCAGAACGCUCGUUUCAUAUAUAUAUAUAUAUAUAUAUAUAUAUUGUUGUUUUUGGGUGAGACAAUUAAAAUAUGGACAGAACUUGGUGAGCAAGUUUUAUAUACAAGAAGUUCUUUAUUUCAAGAAACCCUCAAAUCCAAUCGUGCAAAGAACCGUAACCAGUUCUAUUAUAAAAGAAUAAUAAAAGUCAACAUUACAAUUUUAUGGUCAAUGUUUUUUGCCGGGAAGGUUUUUAACUAAUUAAUCUUUUAUGCAUGUGCUAAUAUCUCAUCUCACAUGCACCCCAUGGUUAAAAGAUGAACAUAUUUAUAUGUUAAAACCACAAAAUAUUUAAUUUUGGUGGACGCUAUCAAUGGAAUAUUUUGAAAGAGUCUUCGUCAAUGGAUUUCACACGCAUUAGAUUCGAGAACACGAAUGUUAAUUACUUGCCUUAAUACAAUUCUCUAUCUCCUAUAAAUUAGACCAGCUUGCUGAUUUUCUAGCUACUAUUGCAUCACUUUUCAACCACCCAUUUCUCAGCCAACCAAACCCAGAAGCCAUGUCUGUCAAGAAGAGUCUCUCUCUCAACAACGGCGGAGCUGGGAUGGGUGGUGCAUCUACGAAGAAGACUAAGAAGAGUUAUUCUCUAACCAAUGGUGGGAACGGCGGCGAUGUAGUUACAGCAAAGCGCGGGCGGUUUGAUCGAUGUUUUUCUUUCAUGGAGAUUUCAACAGAACAAGGAAAAUCACUCAAGGACAUGGAUUCGGAGAAGUUGAAAUCUGGGAUCAGGAGGUGGGCUAAGGCUGUUGUUGCUUACGCCCGCCAAGUCAGCGGCCGCUUCGGAGGCACCCGUGGCUGACUGAUGACAAGCCUAACUGUAAGUGCCUAAUGGAAGUAGUUCUGCUUUGAACAUAGUGAAUAUCAAAAUGAUGGAGUUACUUGAAUUGUAACUCAAUUUUCCAUGCUGAUAAACGUACAUAGGAGAUUAAGAAAUGAAUGAUUGAUUGGUCCUUGUAUGUAAAUGCGCCCAAUGAUGUAAAUAGUUGAUUUUUCCAUCCAAAAUAAGGCCUGUGUCAAGCCAAGUAUCCAAAUUGCAUGCUAUUUUGUUAAUACUCACAAAAAGCAAAAACAAUUUUUUUGCACUUUUCUGUUAUAUUUAGGUGAAAUUGGAAUUUAAACCAUCCAAGGAAAAAGAAAUUAUAGCCAGUACUAUACAUCUACUUACAAAACCAUUACAACCCACCAAAAGAACAAACAAAAACGAAACCAAAAUUUUUGUGCUACUGCAGCUCAACUCUAGAAAGCCUAUUUGUGGCUUAGUUUCUAACUUAUGAGAAGACAGCAACGAUAAAACCUCUACUCCCUGACCUUAUUGUGACUUUUUAAGUUCACCAAAUGUCGCCCUCUCACCAGAAAUGUUCCUCAAAAGCUGUUUCGAGCACAUGUUCUCAGCCGUCGUUGCAUCUUUCACACGGUCGGCCUUCACCCAAGCCGGUUCCUGCAAGAAAGUUUUAUGAUAAUAUAAUGAUCAGCAUCUUCCUUUUAACCAUUACAUGUUAUAAUAACAAGAGAUGAUGUAAAUUUGGAGUAAGCGUUCACCUCGGGAACAAAGCGGGAGAAUCCAAACUUAAUCAACAAGAGGACAUGUUCCAUAACCAGAAUUGCAGCCAGGCCAGGCUCUAUCUUCCAUUUGCCCUCUUCAUCAUAUAACCAUACUAGAAGCGCACAGUUGGUGCAUAUAGACAUAACGACGAGAAACUACAAAUUGCAGACAACCUGACAUUAGAAAGAUGACGAUAAGAGAGAAAAUGGAACACAUAGUCAACCCUCCAAUUCUCUCCCUUGUUUUAUAUUUACUGCAGAGAAGAAAGCAAAUCUAAUACAGCUGCCAACAAAUAUGUCUCUUUACCUAAUCAAUCCAUUUUGAACUUUCCAGAAUUUAAGGUUGAGCUAUACGAAUUCUAUAUUUUCUUCACAAUACAUAACCAUAAACCAUAAGUAUAAGUACCUGAAAUAUAUUCAGCCAAGCUCCAAUUGUUGUGGAAAAACGAGGAGUUGGUCUUCUCAACAUGGCAAGAAGCUUCAAUGCAUCCGCCCUAAUUUCGGUGAUGUUGUUCUGUGAAAAGUACAACUCGAACAUUAGAAUACAAAAUACUACAAAGCAUAAAGAACUCCAAAUAAACAACCAUAAAGCAUAAUUUACCAAAGUUGCAAAAGCAAAAGCAAGGGGGAAUGCACAAGCAAACAUCAUUAUCAUUCCGAACUGCAAUGCAACCUCCAGAAAGUCUGCAGGUCAAAUCACAGUGCUAAUCAGCAGAGAAUAAAGAAACAUACAAGAAUUCUCAUGAUUACUCGAAACUAAGGAGGAAAAUGCAAAUUUUAAAAACGCCAGACAUAAUUGACAUAUUACCAUCAAACAACCCAUCUUCAAGUUCCAUGCCAAUGCUUGCGGAAUAAGAAGGCUUCAGGUACUCUUUUUCUACCCUAGAAGCAAACUGGAUCUUCCCAGUUGAUGAACCUUUUUCACGUUUUUUCUUGCUCCUUGAAUUCAGAAUGGCAAAUAAGGUCAUGUUCAGAUAAACUUAAAAUCACCCCAAAACAUAAGGGUCCAGAAGAUAAAAACAUAGUAUAGGCUUACCGAAUUCUAUAUUUCUUAUAACUGUACUUGAGAUAUGGCAAAGUAUUUUCCAACAAGUUUUCCAACACCUGGAAAGCAUAGACCAAUUCAUGAGCAUGAGAGGAGAGGUAUAAAAUCAAAACAGUGAAUAAAAUAGAACUCAUUUUACCUGAGACACAAGGAGGCGUUGAAUCAAGACUUUGCGGAGUGUUGAAAAAUUGCGGUGCAAAAGGGCAUGGUAGAAAACUCCUAUAUAUGACUGCAUGAAAUAAAGACCAAACACCUGCAAAAUAAAUUAAAACACAAAAUAAGUCCUUGAACUUUGAAGCGUAGAAAACUCCUCCAAGAAGCAGCAAAGAAGACGCUAGGGAUCGAUCUCCACUUAACACACCUUGUAGACCAAGCUGUCUGCUUUUUUUUCUGUGUUUUCAUUAUUUUCAUACUUAAUGAGCUUGACGGAGAUCUUGCCCCCAAUCUGUGUAAGGAGCUGAAUGGCAAAAAGAUAAAUGGUAGUCAACCCAAACCUGAAAAAUAAAGAAAGGAUAAGUGUCAUUCUCACACUAUAAUUCCAAAGAAUUAAUACCAUAGGAAAAAGAAUGAAUGCUGUGUCUAAAUGAUCGCUACAGAUCAGAAUUGGUUGUGCCCUUAAAUUGGGUUUCUGUUUGACUUAAUAUUUCUAAUUCGACUUUCCCUCUCCUUGUCCAAAGUUUCUAAGCAUGAGGACAAGUGCAGCAGCAGAUACAAACUCUAAAAUCCCAUUAUGUCAAAACCAAUAAACCCAAAAUUUUCCUCCAUCUUAUGUCUAGUAUGCAACCUGAACAGAGUCAAUCUCAGCAAUAGUUCUCAUCCAACUGUCAAUAGCACUCAUGCACAACUGAUGCACCGAGUUAUCAUGCAUAAAAAAUAAAAAUAUGAGCACAAACUCUGGAAUGUUAAAAAUGAUUUUUCAUUGAUGAAAAUAGAAUUAGAUGAAUGUGCAAGUGUAUACAUUCACAUGAAUGCAAGAGGACUCGGCGUCUUACUUCAUAAUAUCAGACCCAAUAACCUCGUAAAUAUGAGCAUACGCUAGUUCGAAUGGUAACUGGAGGCAUAUAAUACUGAAGAUAAUGAUAGCAUCAUUUCGGAAUCUCAUGAGUCGUCCAAACCACUCAAUUCUUUGGAACAUUUCUUUCUCUUUAGUUUUGUCAGUCCCCCAUUUUUUUGCGAUUUCAAUAGACUGUGAGGAACUCCACUCCAUGCCCUGUCUAUAUCCCAGGUCAGCUCUAAUUGGGUAACGAAUCUUCCAUCUAAACACGCAACCAAGAAAGAGAAAGAGGUAAAGUAUGUUAGAAAAAGUAAAAAUAUAACUGAAAAUGAAUAAGCAUAGAUCUGAUAACCACAAGACAAUUUCAUUGUAAAUCAAGCUACCUGGCUAAAAGGGCAUUGUUUUUACGUUUCCAGAACUGGGAAAACAUUAUAGCCCACAAUAUUAUGCUUAUGAAGAAAAUGGGGAGCACCAGUAACUGCAAUGACCUAAGGAAAACAUUAAGCAAACAUACAUCAGUUUCAAUAAGCAGCACUAGUAAAAUAAGUUGACAGCCAACAAGGAAAUUAAGAAAUAAGGAAGAUGACCCACCCAAAAUCAAACAUGUGCAAAAUAAGCCCAAAUGCAGCUGGAAAGAGCAACCACCGAGUGUACAUUCCAAGGAAAGCAAAAUAGAUGGCAAUCUACAAAGACAUUAAAUUCUUGCUUAAUGUUAGGAAAUAGAGAGAAAGAUAGUUUGCUAUUGCUACUAACUCACUUUUGUUCCAAAAUAGGAAUAAAUCUCAUCUAUUGGCUGGUUUGUGAAGUCCCACCAGUGCAGUGCCCACGUCUGAAGGAGCUUCUUCCUUUUUAUUUCAUCUAUCAGUCAAAAAUCAUCUUAAUUUAAAGUUUAACAGAGAUGCACGCAUUUUGUGAAUUUGUAAACAUACCAUGCAAAGGAAACACUUCUUUGACGAUCCUCUCUGACUCCAAUUUCUGAAGUAAAUACUCCCCGACUUCCCAUUGGAAUUCUUUGCUGUCAAAUCUUAAUGUUACACUUGACUGACUCUUGUUAAUCUGUAAAAUUUCAGUUCUAUCUUUGUCAAAGGCAAAAACUUAUGGAUGAAUAUUUGCACACAGAAAUAUAAUUAUAAGGGAAAAUGUUCCAAGGGUUUCAGUUGUUUGUACAUCAACUGGCACAAAGUUUAGAAAAACAAAACACUAGAGGUCAACUGGUGGGAUGUAUUCUACCAAAGAGUGACAAAAAAAGGAUGGAUAUAAACAUGAAAUUGUAACGUAAAAUCAAAUUGAAUGGAUAUAUAACCUUAAUACGAUAUAAAUUUACAAUUAAAAAAAAUUCAAAAGCAUUCUGUAAUUAGAAGUAAUAUACCAAAACAUCAGAAAGAAAAAAUGGCAUUGGAACAUCAUAAGAUCCUAAUAUGUUAAAUGACUUACAAUUCCAUAUAUUAAGUGCCUAUAGCAGCGAAAACGCUCACACCAACUGAACAAAGAACCAUCAGGCUGUCUCUCAAAAGCAUCAACCUCCUCCCAUUCAAAUUCUAAAUCCAUCCCUGAAACCAAGUGCAGCAUAUUAGUUUUUUAGUAUUACCGAAGUGGAAAUUAAUAGAUACUAGAAUCUAAAAUACAGAACAACCUCAAAUGAAAAAUAAUAAAAUUUGAAAGCCAACUGGAAUAGAACUGCAAGAUCAUUACCAAUAGGAGUUCGUUUUUUAAUAUGCAAUUCAGCUGCAGCCCUCCCCAGUGUUUCCAAAGGUGCUGCCAACUGAAAGAUAGAAAUCUAAGGUCCAGCAACCAAAUUCAAGAAACCAUAUAGACAAAACAUUGCCGAAUUGUAUGUACCAUUUUCAUUCAGCAUAAACAAAAAACGACAUGAAUAAUGCUGGGUUAUCAUAAAUUGCCAAGUAUAGUGCUCAUUUGCAAUUUAGAAUAAAAAAUAGAAACAACAAAUUUUAGCAAAAGGGAACAUUUCUUUUUUGCCAUUAGCAAAAAGAUCUCAAUUUCAUAAGUUUUGUCUACAUGCGUCGGUACAAAAUACAAAGAUUCACUUGGAUUAAUUAAAAAAAUUUCCUAGUAAGCAAGAUUUAUAAAUACAGAGAGAGAUCGUAUCAGAAAUUAUUCACAGAAUCUAUUCUCAUGAGCCAAUUGCACGAAACAAUGUAUGGUAAUAUAAAUCAAUUACUGAAAAUCCAAACGAAAAAUCAAGGCAGGAAAAUAAGAGCAAAAGUAGAAAGACAAACCUUGAUAAACUCAUCAACAACGCCAUGCACUCUCUCAACUACCAAACCCAAAUUUCUAAACUCGUCUACCAACACCUCCACACAGUCAGAAGCUUUAUCUUCUUCCUUCACAUCUCUCUUUGGAACCACAACCCCAAUCUCAAAAGCAGUUUGUUCCUCCUCAAGCACAUUCAUUUCCUGUCCACCAAACAACUUUAACACCUGAGAACAGCCAAAUGGAUCUCUGUCUUUAAGAUCCAAAUGAUGCCCAAACCCACCAAAGAGGUAAACUUUCACAGAAACUGGCUCAAACAGUGAAGUGGGCAAUUGUAUUUUGGAACAACAGAAGCUUGCAAACACCAAAGACAAGAUUUUUCUGUUGAAAUGGCUCAAAUUGCUAAAUGGGUCUAUCAAUUGUGAACCAACGUUGCUCUCUGUGCAGAUCAAACGAAAAGCUGUGUUUAUCAAACAUACAGAUAAAUGUGUCCCAAUGGAAUUGGAAAUGUAGGUUCUUGGAAGAUAAGAGCAGAAGAGAGAGAGAGAGAGAGAGAGAUGAGAGGGAGAACAGAUGGCCGAGCAGUCGGCUAUUAUGGGCGAGCCGUUGCGAGGGAGAGACACAUUGGAUGGUAUGGAAGGAGGAAGACACGUGGGCUCCGAUAUUUGGCAGUUCCUUACGUUUUGCGGUUUGCAGAAGCAGGGAAAGGAGAAGCCGGUACGAUUUCCCAUGUUACCUCGGGUCUGUCCAAUUUGACUACAUAUUUUUGGCCAAUAAAAUAAUUUUUUCUAUAUUUUGGAAGAGUUUUGAAAAUUUUGAAAAUUUGAAUGUCACCCAAUUAAAAAGGUAAACUAAUGCAGUUUUGACAUGGUGUAUGAAUGUUAUGUCAUUAUUAUUAUCUUGUCCAGUAGCAAAUGAUGCUCUCAAACUUCAUGGCCUAUUAUUGUUCAUCUAUUGAUUUCUUCUUUUACCAGUCUCAUUGUUCCCAACUAUUUGAGGAACAAAACCAAGAAUCGGCAAGAACAAACACUAAAAUCUAUGGUGAAAGGGAUAGCGACACUGAUGUUAUCUAUGGAUAUUACUCUUUUACAUGACAUGUUCGAAAACAUUAUUGAAAUUAUUCAUAUUCACGAUUUUCAAUAUAUAUGUAUUGGAAUUUUCUGUUUUUAUUUUUAUUUUUCUUGCGUUUACUAACACCUACGAAAUCAACUAUGUAAUCAAAUGCAUGCAAACCCAAGAAUUAGAUCGAUAUAGUAGUUGAUUUAAUUCUAAUUCAAAAGGACAAUAAUAAUUUGCAAAACAAACUAACCUUAUAGGUGAGGUGAGGGGUUAUGUCUGUCAAGACUCAAGAACUCUUCAACGAUUGUUUAUCUUACUUUUUCCAUGGGCAGAUGUCUUUGUACUUGUUUGCAAUAUUUAAAGAAGAAAGGGGAAACCAGUUUCGGGUAACUUCCCUUUGUUUCCUCUUCCUUGUGAAGGAGGGGAUGUUGCAAGUAAGUGUUUUCUUUUUGGGUUUAGCGGUGUAAAAAACUACCCUACCAUUUUUUAAUGUAAAAACAUAAAUAAAAGUUUGGUUAUGUAUAUCAGUUUUUGUCUAAUAAGUUUUUUGAGCUUUUAUCACAAAACAUCACAAGCUUGCGAAAUUAUUAAGUUUUUUUUUUCUUUCUUAGUAUUCAAUUUGAUUAUCCACGUUUUUCUGCACACAUCAAUGUUGUCUAUAUCGUCUAAUCCCAUUAAAAAUUCUAUUAGUGUGCUAAUGUGACACGCAUAUGCAGCCAUUACCUCACAAAUACGGUGAAAAAACUAAUUUUACAAAACUCAGUGACAAUUUGUGAUAAAAAUAUUUAUAAUUAUAAUUUUUAAGGUUUUUCCCAAUGGGGUCUAGCUCAUUGAAAAAAGGCCUAGGUCUCAGGUUUGAAUUCUCACGGCAUUAUAGUUGUAUGUGUGUGAGAAUAAUCCUCAUCUCAUGUAAUUUAGACUAUCGCUUGUACUCAAAAAAAUAAAAAUAAAACAUUUUAGGUUUUUAACAGCAAGGAGUAAGCCCAAGUCACAUAUUCUUUAUGUCCAGUCUAAAACAAAACAAUCCGAUACUUCACAAAAAAGCGGCCCAACAAAGGAAAAGUAGGAAACUUCGACUAGUUGACUUCCCUCUGAGACAGACGCGGAACGCGUAAAUCGCAAAUCCAAAACACACAAAUACGGAACCUUUCUCCGAUUUAAAACCAAAACCCUAGAAAAUCAAAUCCCCAAAAUCCACCAUGGGAAACACCGAGAAGCUGAUGAACCAGAUCAUGGAGCUGAAAUUUACGUCCAAGUCGCUUCAGCGCCAAUCCAGAAAGUGCGAGAAAGAGGAGAAAGCCGAGAAGCUGAAGAUCAAGAAGGCCAUGGAAAAAGGCAACGUUGACGGCGCUCGGAUCUACGCCGAGAACGCGAUCCGAAAGCGCACAGAGCAAAUGAACUAUCUCCGGCUCGCUUCCCGGCUCGACGCUGUGGUGGCUCGGCUCGACACCCAGGCCAAGAUGUUCACCAUCAAUAAGUCCAUGGGAAAUAUUGUCAAAUCACUCGAAUCGUCGCUGGCCACCGGAAACCUCCAGAAGAUGUCGGAGACCAUGGACUCGUUCGAGAAGCAGUUCGUGAACAUGGAGGUCCAGGCCGAGUUCAUGGAAACCGCCAUGGCUGGCUCCACCUCGCUUUCGACUCCAGAGGGUGAGGUCAAUAGCUUGAUGCAACAGGUCGCCGAUGACUAUGGGCUUGAGGUUUCUGUGGGCCUACCUCAGCCAGCUGCCCAUGCCGUGCCGGCCAAGGAAACCGAGAAGGUCGACGAGGACGACCUCUCCAGGAGGCUUGCGGAGCUCAAGGCUAGAGGUUAGAAUAGGGAAGGCGAUCAGC